CCUGUUUAUCAAAAACAUGUCUGUAAGUUUUCUGUUUACAGUCUGGCCUGCCCACUGAUAUUAUUAAAGGGCCGCGGUAAUUUGACCGUGCGAAGGUAGCAUAAUCAUUAGUUUUUUAAUUGAAGVCUUGUAUGAAUGGUCGGACGAAGAAUUGGCUGUCUUUUUGUUAUUBUGAAUUUAACUUUUAAGUGAAAAGGCUUAAAUUGGUUGGAGGGACGAUAAGACCCUAUAAAACUUUAUAUAGCUUUAUUAUGGUAUACCAAUUUUGUUUAAGUUUAUUUGGAUGUAGCUAUAUUUUGCUGGGGCGGCAUUUUCAUAAUUUGUAACUGUUUUUUAAAUUUAAUAAAUAUAAUUAGGUUUUGGUCCUUUAUUAGAGAUUAAAAGAUUAAGUUACUUUAGGGAUAACAGCGUAAUUUUCUCUGAGAGUUCUUAUCGACGAGAUUAGUUGNCGACCUCGAUGUUGAAUUAAAAUUUCAGAUUGGUGUAGUCGCUUUUCUGGU
rnacentral:rRNA from 1 species